AACAUUAUUCCACUCUGCCUUGGUGCAUACAGUCAGAAUAUAACAGUGACCAAGGGAACAAACAAAGUGGUAUCAUUGCAGCAGCUUGCAGUGUUUUAAACAGGCUGUUAUUCACUCACUUUAAAAAAGCCUAAUGUUGACCCUUUACUUCCUCAGAAUUUUAGAACAAUUUCAAAAUUGCCUUUUAUCUCCAAAUUUUCAGAAAAAGUGGUGGCCAAACAGCU